GGUUUCCCUGGGGACUCGAUCCCCCUGAAGGGCCGUUGAAGACUACAACGUUGAUAGGCUGGGUGUGGAAGUUCAGUAAUGAAUGAAGCUAACCAGUACUAAUUGCCCGUGAGGCUUGGCCAUAUAACACCCAAGAAGU
rnacentral:rRNA from 1 species